rnacentral:lncRNA from 1 species
AGGCAGAUCUUGGAAAAAGAGAGAUGAUGCACUCAACUGGGAAACUGAAGAGUUUGCAAGACUGGCCACAGUGGGCAGCUUUAAGCAUCCAGGGCCUAAAUGUGAAAGAGUCAAACAGGUCUGCAGAGGCUAGAGAGAAGAGCCCCAGGCCCUCAUGGAGGGAGGCAGCACCCUGACCUCACGGUCCCUCCGCUCACACUUGCCUCCUAUCGGACAAAUCCAAGUACCUGCCUAGGCACCCAGUGCAAAUGGCUUGGCACCCUGGCCAAGGCAGAGGUGGCUCUGCAAGGUGAGUAGAAGUCACCUGAGUGUGGUGUCCCCAACUGGCAUUCUCAGAAACUCUUGGGCAGCCUAAAUAUGUCUGAGAACAUAAAGUGGGGGAACAGAGAGAGACUGAUUCUUUCAGCCCUUGCCAUACCCUCAGAUAAAUGUGUUGGUUCAUUUACACCCGUGGUUUGGGGAUGCAAUCUCACAUGAUCUUUAGACACUAGUACUUCUCUACCAGGACAUCAGGCAUCGGGGUGACUGUGAUUAGUGGGAAAGUUUGGGGACCACCAUACAGAAGAGAUCAAGUGGCUAUUCACAGGACUCUGGGAGAAAAAUUCUAAAAUGCAAAUUUUGCAUGCAAAAUUCCUGCCCAUGUAAUUACCACCUCUUUUCAAUCUCUAAACAUCCCCCUAUAGGGCUGAUACUACUGUCACUUGUGGGGUUCAAAUGAAACCCCUAAAUCCAGACAGCAAAUGUGGGCACAAGCCAGAAGGGUGCCGAGCAGGUCACAGGCUUGGUGACAGAUGACACAGAACACUUAGGUGCCUAGUCAUGACAGCUGGCUUAUCCAUAGGCCCCAGCAGGGUCAGGAA